CCCCAGCGGAGGUACUGGUUCCAGGUCACCAUGUCCACCCUGUAGAUCAGCUCUGCCAGAAAUAAUGACACAAAUGCACCUCCAAUGGCAGCGUUGCCGUGGUGCUGAAGAAGACUUGGGUCUGUCCGAGCUGCAGCAGAGUCUCCCUCCACUGGCUGACGUCGUAACCUGCAGGUUUGCUCCUACGUAUCCGGCCAGGUGAGCUCCCAGACUCACGCCGAUGAGGUGCACUGAACUCAGAGAGGCUCCUUCCUCCUGUAGACACACAACAUU